GCUGGGCGUGGUGGCGGGCGCCUGUAAUCCCAGCUACUCGGGAGGCUGAGACAGGAGAAUCGCUUGAACCCAGGAGUCAGAGUGCAGUGUGUGGAAAUAGAGCAACUGAACUCCAUCCUGGGCAACAGAGUGAGACUCUGUCUCAA
rnacentral:sRNA from 1 species